CACGUGCCUGUGUAAGCAGACUGUGCAGAGCUCUGCAUCCGUUGUGCAGUCUGUGAUAGCAGCGACGGAGAUGC
rnacentral:snoRNA from 1 species